CCUACGGGUGGCAGCAGUGAGGAAUAUUGGUCAAUGGGCGCGCGCCUGAACCAGCCAAGUCGCGUGAGGGAAGACGGCCCUACGGGUUGUACACCUCUUUUGCCGGGGAGCAACGCGCGUCACGUGUGGCGCCACUGAGAUUACCCGGAGAAAAAGCAUCGGCUAACUCCGUGCCAGCAGCCGCGGUAAUACGGGGGAUGCGAGCGUUAUCCGGAUUUAUUGGGUUUAAAGGGUGCGUAGGCGGAUCGCCAAGUCAGCGGUAAAAUCGAGGGGCUCAACCGCGUCCCGCCAUUGAAACUGGCGCUCUUGAGUGGAAGAGAAGUAUGCGGAAUGCGUGGUGUAGCGGUGAAAUGCAUAGAUAGCACGCAGAACUCCGAUUGCGAAGGCAGCAUGCCGGCUUCCGACUGACGCUGAAGCACGAAAGCGUGGGGAUCGAACAGGAUUAGAUACCCGUGUAGUC
rnacentral:rRNA from 1 species